UUGGCCACUGUCAGAAGACAGGAUGCUGGGCUAGAUGGAUCUUUGGUCUGACCCAGUAUGGCUGUUCUUAUGUAGUUAAAUGAGUUGGUGAACUCAGUAUUGUUAUUGGCAGUACAUGAUCACAUUACGAAAACCACCAUCACAACUGCAUCCUUCUUAAUAGCCUCAAUAUUUUUCCAGUGGCAGAUCAUGGAUACAGGACUUCAGUACCCUGGUAUCAUUCUGGCACCUUUCACUAGUACUAACAUUCAAAUGCUCAUUCAAACCAACCUCAGUCCUUAAGAUGCUACUUUUCCAGCAAAUAAUGACUUUUUAAAAAUUUAACCUGGGUAAAAUUUCAGUAUUUCCAUGUAUAAAUGUUUUCAGCUUCCAUAUAGAUAAAGAAUUUUCCACAGAAAUAUGUUUUUACUCAUUGUAAACAGUCUUUUACUUUCUCUCAUGCACAAACAGCCCAAAAAAAUAAAAAGGGAAAGUGAAAGCUUUUGUCAAAAUGACAUUGAUGCAGACAUAAGAUUUCAGCUAUUGUAAUGAUAACUUAUUUGCAUGGCUUCAUUCAUGGAUCAGACUGAAUUUUCAUUUUAAAGAGAAAAUUUUAAUAUUUCACUAUUUAUUACCUUGAGAUGAUGUGACAAAUGACAUCCAGAAGAGAGCUGGACCCUUAGGGUGCUAUGGGUUAUUUCUAAUAAUAAUAUGGUCUUGUUACUGUGAUUUUAUUAGUUAAUAUGACCAGGUGUAAACUUUUGAAAUUCUGCAAUAUCUGUACUCAAAACAUUUGCCCUAGGCAAUUCAUGAUCAAGGGUUAAAGUACAGUUCAUAUAUAUUUGGCAAACAAGUAGAGAGCACUUGUGUGACUUGUUCAUUGUUAUAUUUGGAAAUAAACAUAAAGUAUUUUUGUAAUUUGAAUUUGUGACAUUACUUUUUAAGAAAGAACUCACUGAAAUUAGUUUUUAAAAAUACACAUAAAAAUACCUUCACCAAGAAGCAUACAUAACUAACCAAAACAAGCACAUUAUCUUAUCAUCAUAGCCCUGGUCUUCCCUUUCUCCUGAGCUUGUUAGGCCCCAGUUCGGAACACCACUUAAACAUGUUUAAGUACACCAUUAAUGAGGAUGCUUUCCUGAAUCAGAGUCUCUGUAGGCCUAGACACAUUCUCAUUGAAUUCAUCCUCAUUCCACUUACAGGUGUAAAAUUGCAGAUAUUCAUAAGUGGAGGAUCAGGGCCUUAUAUUGUAAAGUGUUUGGAGCAGGGACUGAGAGUUGAAAUCUUGGCUUAUUAAACUCAAUGAGGCCAACAUUUCAUAAAGUGUUUUCUCCCUGGAAAGGGCCAUGCAAAAUUAUGGCACUAAUGAUAAUACCUAGCUCUUAUAUAAUGUAUUUCAUCAGUAGAUUUCAAAGCGCGACACAAAAAAGGUAAGCUUUCUUAUCGUACAGAAGGGGAAAGCUGAGGCUCAGGAAAUGGAGUGACCUGCCAAAGUGGACCCAGAAGGCUAGUGGCUGUGCUGGUAAUAGAUCUCAAGUCUCCUAAGUCCCAGUCCAUCACUCUAUCCACUAGACAACACUGCCUCCCUUAAGUAACGAAUAAAUGCUUUGGGGACAAUCUGUGACAACACAUUCUGGCUUUAAAAGUUAUCUAGUUGUAUUUUUCUCUUUAAUAUUUAAAGAAAUAUUUAGAUCACAGGGAAAUAUUGUAUAUCUAUUUCUUAAUAUUUCCAAAAGACCUGAAAUUACUGAAACCAAAAGCCUAUGUAUAUCAUACAAGUUUAUUCUUCUUGGUGUAUGAUACAUUGCAGAAAACAAAGAGUAAUGUUUUGUAGGGUUUAAUUCGUGAAUCACUUUUUAGCCUGAAUCAAGCUACAGGUUAAGAUUAUCUGAUACAUUUAUAGACCACAAAAGAAAGAGCAUAAGAAUGGCCAUUCUGGCUGAGACCGAAUGGUCCUUCUAGCCCAGUUUUCUGUCUUCUGCCAAUCGACAAACCUAGGUGGUUUGGAGAGAAUGAACAGAUCAGGGCAAUUUAUCAAGUAAUCUAUCCCCUGUCAUCCAGUCCCAGCUUCUGGCAGUCUGAGAUUUAGGGGGACCAGUAACAAAGGUUGUGUUCCCAACCAUCUUGGCUAACAGCCAUUGAUGGGCCUAUCCUCCAUGAACUUAGCUAAUUCUUUUUUUUAACCCAGUUUUGACCUUUUUACCCAGUUUUGACCAUUUGACCUUCACAACAUCCCCUGGCAACAAGUUCCACAGCUUGAUUGUGUGUUGUAUGAGGAAUUACUUCUUUAUGUUUGUUUUAAUCUUACCUGUUCAUUUCAUUGGGUGACCCCUGGUUCUCAUGCUAUGUUGUGAUGAGGUGUACUUGCCCUGCACUGGAGCGGAAGGGAUUAAGACAGGACUCUUAGCAGCAGAAGACAUGUCUCCUUGACCCUGCUGGGCAUAUUUCAACUGCUGCUCAAGUAUAAAAAGGAACAGCCUAGCUCAGCCUGGGCUGACCGCCGAGGAGAAACAAUGCACCUUGCUCGCUUCAGUUGAGGAGCAGCCAGGAUCCUGGACCGUGGGAGCAGGAGACACCAAGGCCCAGGCAGGCACCCAAGGACCUGAGCACACCCCAGGGAGAUUGCAGUCAUCAGCCGAAGAGCCCCAAGACUCCGAAGACACUCCAACAUCAGCUGCAGGAGUCACGGUGUACACACUGCCAAGCCUCUUGGUGUACAGAAACAGCUUAUUUGCAGUGCUGUAAAAGAAGCACUCUGACAAGAGGUGUACAGCUUUCUGCACUGUCGGAUCUCAGCAAAGCGCAAACAGGAGAGGAUGCCCCUGAGAUGACUUUGGGGGCCCAACCUUCCUCUUUGUUAUCAUCGGCUGAAUGGCUGCGCAGUAUUAGAACACAGCCAUGAAGAACCAGGGAGGACUUUCUGCAUGACAUUAUGAUGCACUCCGGGGCCGAAAAACAGGAACUGAAGGAUGGUGGGACAGCAAGAAGAGGGACUGAAAGGAGAACAUGGCAUGCCAGAAUGAAGCCAUGGAGCAGCUCUUAAAUGUUAUGGAGUACCAAGUGGACAUGCUCGACAGCUCUGCGCCUGCCCUCUCCUGCAGCUGCUGUUGCAAAACUCUUUCCCAUGCACCCCCCAGACACUGCCAACACACUUUUAUCAACCUCCUGGCUCCAGUCUGUACCCACAGCAUUCCACUCCUCCCUACUCACAGUCCAGCACUGCAGACUCCCAGAACCCACUGUACUCAACACUCAUCCCUCUGCAGUUUGGCCCUCCUAACAUUCAGUACCCACUGCACUGUACUCCAUGUACAUGCAUGAUCCCUGGACAUGCACAAAUCUUUAGCUCUCCUGGAACCCCAUCUUCUCCUUGGACCUUUCCUUCCCCCGUCCCCCUCAGUGCUGAUGUAUUUUUUGUUAUUGUUGUUUCACUCUCUUCUCCAGUUGUUGUUUUUUAG